rnacentral:rRNA from 1 species
CACGUAGGGCGCAAGCGUUUGUCCGGAAUUAUUGGGCGUAAAGAGCUCGUAGGCGGUCUGUUGCGUCCGCUGUGAAAACUCGGGGCUUAACCCCGAGCCUGCAGUGGAUACGGGCAGACUAGAGGUAGGUAGGGGAGAAUGGAAUUCCCGGUGUAGCGGUGAAAUGCGCAGAUAUCGGGAGGAACAUCAGUUGCGAAGGCGGCUCUCUGGACCAGCACUGACACUGAGGCACGAAAGCGUGGGGAGCAAACAGG